CUCACAUUCCUAUACACUAACAAUGAAAGAUCAGAAAAAGAAAUUAAGGAAAUAAUCACAUUUACCAUUGCAACAAAAAGAAUAAAAUACCUAGGAAUAAACCUACCUAAGUAGGUAAAAGACCUGUACUCAGAAAACUAUAAGACACUGAUGAGAGAAAUCAAAGAUGACACAGACAGAGAGAUAUACCAUGUUCUUGGACUGGAAGAAUCAAUAUUGUGAAAGUGACAAUACUACCCAAAGCAAUCUACAGAUUCAGUGCAAUCCCUAUCAAAUUACCAAUGACAUUUUCCACAGAACUAGAACAAAAACCUUAAAAUUUGUAUGGAGACACAAAAGACCCAGAAUAGCCAAAGCGGUCUUGAGGGGAAAAAAUGGAGCUGGAGGAAUCAGGCUCCCUGACUUCAGACUAUACUACAAAGCUACAGUAACCAAGACAGUAUGGUACUGGCACAAAAACAGAAACAUAGAUCAAUGGAACAGGAUAGAAAGCCCAGAGAUAAACCCAUGCACAUAUGGUCAACUAAUCUAUGACAAAGGAGGCAAGGAUAUACAGUGGAGAAAACACAGUCUCUUCAAUAAGUGGUGCUGGGAAAACUGGACAGCUACAUGUAAAAGAAUGAAAUUAGAACAUUCCCUAACACCAUACACAAAAAUAAACUCAAAAUGCAUUAAAGACCUAAAUGUAAGACCAGAGACUAUAAAACUCUUAGAGGAAAACAUAAGCAAAACACUCUAUGACAUAAAUCACAGCAAGAUCCUUUUUGACCCACCUCCUAGAGAAAUGGAAAUAAAAACAAAAAUAAACAAAUGGGACCUAAUGAAACUUCAAAGCUUUUGCACAGCAAAGGAAACCAUAAACAAGACGAAAAGACAGCCCUCAGAAUGGGAGAAAAUACUUGCAAACGAAGCAACUGACAAAGGAUUAAUCUCCUAAAUAUACAAGCAGCUUGUGCUGCUCAGUACCAAAGAAACAAACAACCCAAUCCAAAAAUGGGCAGAAGACCUAAAUAGGCAUUUCUCCAAAGAAGACAUACAGAUGGCCAAGAGGCACAUGAAAGGAUGCUCAACAUCACUAAUUAUUAGAAAAAUGCAAAUCAAAACUAUAAUGAGGUUAUCACCUCACACCGGUUAGAAUGGGCAUCAUCAGAAAAUCUACAAACAACAAAUGCUGGAGAAGGUGUGGAGAAAAGGGAACCCUCUUGCACUGCUGGUGGGAAUGUAAAUUGAUACAGCCACUAUGGAGAACAGUAUGGAGGUUCCUUAAAAAACUAAAAAUAGAAUUACCGUACAACCCAGCAAUCCCACUACUGAGCAUAUACCCAGAGAAUACCAUAAAUGAAAAAGACAUAUGCACCCCAAUGUUCAUUGCAGCACUAUUUACAAUAGCCAGGUCAUGGAAGCAACGUAAAUGCCCAUCGACAGAUGAAUGGUUAAAGAAGAUGUGGUACAUAUAUACAAUGGAAUAUUACUCAGCCAUAAAAAGGAAUGGAAUUGGGUCAUCUGUAGAGACGUGGAUGGACCUAGAGUUUGUCAUACAGAGUGAAGUAAGUCAGAAAGAGAAAAACAAAUAUCGUAUGUUAAUGUAUAUAUGUAGAAUCUAUAAAAAUGGUACAGGUGAACUGGUUUGCAAGGCAGAAAUAGAGACACAUAUGUAGAGAACAAACGUAUGGACACCAAGGGGGGAAAGCGGCGGAGGUGGUGGUGGUGGUGAUGGGAUGAACUGGGAGAUUGGAAUUGACACGUAUACACUGAUAUGUAUAAAAUGGAUAACUAAUAAGAACCUGCUGUAUAAAAAAUAAAUUAAAUUUAAAAAUUCAAAAAAAGAAAGAAAAAAAAAAAGACAUCAGGGAGCUAAGAGGACAUUGAAGCCAGGAGCCAGAAGCUGGGGAGGUGGCCUGGAGGCAGAGGCGCUUCUCGAACUAGAGGUGCUGACUCAGCAAGGGGCACCAAGGGGCCUCUGGGCGGAGGUAAUGGUCUAUUUGUUGACCUGCUGCUGGUUACACAGUGUGUUUACUUGGUGGAGAUCCACUGAGAUGGACUCAUGAUUUGAGUACUUUUCUCUUUAUAUGUUUUGCCUUUAAAAAAAAAGUCAUUUAAAGGCUUUGGCAAUUAACAAACUAGGGUUUGAGGCCCAGCUCUGCUGCUUGGAAACGUGCCCUCAAGAAAGUUCAUCUUUUUCAAAACCCAAUCUCUUUAGGUGUAAAAUGUGGAGUGUAAGUGACAGCCUCAUGGGAGUGUUCUGAGGUGUAAAUGAGAACUUGUCAAGUGGCCUGUCAGGUGCCUGGAAGCUGGUGGGGCUCAGAGAACAGCACCUCUGAUGAUGUGUUGCCUUUUUCUGAGAACCUGCUAUGCCGGGUGCUGCAUUUCUAUGUCACCCUCUGCGGUCUGUGCCGUUUCACAGAGAAGGAAGCCAAGGCUCAGCGUGGUGAAGGCCUUGCUCUGGAUGGUAAACAGCAAACAGCAGGGCUAAGAUUCAGACUCAGGCCUUGUCCAGGACCAGGGCUGGGAACCCUUGUCUAUAUGGCUGGCGGAUUAGUCAUUACAUGGAGAAUCCACUUCCAGAUCUGGCCUCUGUUUCUGCUAAGUGAAUACAAUCUCAAGAUUAACUUCUAGAUUCAGCCUUGUUUCACAGUAUUUCCAGUUUGCCCAGAUUAAACGUACUUGUCCCAAUGAACUCUGUAGAAAAGGGAGGCAUUUAAUCUCAUCUCAAGGUGAAAUUGAGAAAUGCGGUAAAUUAGAUUGCAGAUUCUAUUGCAGAGUAACCAAAGUAAAUCUUUGCCAAGCUCAGAGGUAACUCAAAUGUUCAUUAGUCUUUUUUUUUUUUUUACAAUUUAAUACUUGAAUAAUUGGAAUUCAUUUUUUGCAGCAAAUAUACAUUAUAUUUUUGUAUUAUUUAUUCUCAUGACUAUGAAAUCACACUUGUUUAUGCAUCCUCCAUGUUCCAUACCCAUACGCUUAUGAUCAGUGAAUUCAUAUUUUUACUUUAUGUAAAUGUUCAUUAGUCUUAAAGAAGAAGGGGGGAGGGGGGAGGGGAGGAGGAAAGGGCUUCCAUUUUCCAGGGCCAGGAUGGAGGGGGCUGCAGUGGAGGCUGGGGACGUGAUGCCAUGAGCCCAUCCCAGAGCAGAGUUUAGGAAGCAGCUUCUGGAAUGUGCUGCAGGUCCCAGCCACGUGAGCCACGUUCUGCCUUGCUGGCCUUGCAGCCUGGAGAGGCCGACGGGCUUGUGCGCUGAGGCUCGUGCGCUCUCGUCAGGCGCGCCUUUGCGGGAGUUUAGGUGUCUGGUCCCGUCGGGAGGAGGCAUCUCCCCUCAGCAAGCUAGUACUUCAUGUUUUUGUUUUUGUUUUUCCCUUGAGUUGCCUAGUAAACACUUCUACUGGAAAAUUCCAACCUUGCCUUGGAUGAACUAAGAGGAAAAGCAAUGUGUCCACACCCAGGCCAGCCCAGCCAGGCAGGGCAGAGGCCCUGGGGACCAGCUUCGUCGACGUGGCCACAGCUGCAGCUCCAGCUGGAACUCGGGGGCGUCUGGACAGCGGCACGGAGCGAGGUGGAUCCCGGGGGGCGUUGACAUUGGCCCCAGGCCCUCCCCUCUGCUCUCUCCAGCCCUUUCAUACUUGUUGCUCUUUGUACACAGUCCCGGCACUUAUCACUUAACACAUCUGUUCUCCCGACUCAGAGCCAGAGGCCAGCCCUGUUCACUGGGCAUCUCGGGGGCCUACGUGGCAUUUAUAUGUAAUCAGUGCUCCUUGCAUGAAACCAAAUGGUGUGAGAUUGACGUGGGGGACGGUCGGCACGAACCAGGACCGGGGGGGAGUGUCCCAGUGUGACCUCCCUGGAGAGCGGGUAGGCACACAGUACCUGGGGGGCCCUCGCAGGCGAAAUUAGAGUUAUUUGCUUUUAAAUGAUUAUUCUUUUGAACAAAUUGAAAGAAUGUUGUCAAAUAUACGCUCCGAUGCACUGGAAUCAGAUGAUGGCGAAGGUUGGUGAGUUUGGCAGACGCGGGCUGGGAAGGGGUGCAGGGUGGGUGCCAGGAGGAUCCUCGGGUCUGUCCACAAGGUGGCGCUCACCUCUCGUUCUCAGUUCCCAUCCACCAAUAGUCUGUCCUUAAAUCGCUGCAGGACAAUUAGGAUGACACUGCUGUGUCCGUAUCUGGUUUCAGGCACCACCCCCCGCCUGCUCUAGAAGAUUUCAGACACUCACGUGUGGUCUCGUGUCCCCAGGAGCCUGGCCCAGAACCGGCCCGGGUUAGCUCACGCACAGGUGUUUGGGUGGUGACAGGGUGUCUGCUUUGAGUAACUUGCUGUAUUGGAACCUCUGGCCUUAGCUAGUGGGACCGUUGUCCUUAGUCUGUACUGCCGCUGAGGUGACCUGUCACACUGACCCGGUCACUGCAAACAUGCCUGGGCUUUUUCCGUGCAAAAGUGUCAAUUUACAAGAGAAAGAGUCUUGGUCUCUGAAUUACAUGAGAGGAGUUUUUAAAAUGCAGACUGAACGACCCAGUAUAAACAAUGAGGAAAAUCCUCCUUCUUUGCCUUAAACUUUCAUACCAUCCCUGUGGACACAAGGGGUGCGCCUAUACAAUUGUUCCAUUGUCAGAGAGAACGAGCUUCAUCAAGUUUCUUCCCUUCAAACGAUCUUUCAAACUGCCCCGCAAGAACGUUGACCAGGCAUCUCACAGAACAAUGAGACAAAUUCCCCAGAUGCUAACUCGGCCUCUUGACGAAUCUCCAGAUUCUUCGGGUUGAACCCAGUUUUCACUAGUUUUGAGAAAAUUUGCAGUGACCAUCCUUCCCCAUGUCCUGUGACAGGGCCGAGCAUUGUGUGUCCUACUUGGUGUAGGAAUCUCCAUAAAAGGGGAAACAAUUCCCAGCCCGAAAACAUUUAAAACAGUGCGCCUGUGGGCAAUCUUCUGAAAUGUCACCAGCUAACGAAAAUAAUCUGUCACGUUUCUGCCCUGCCUUACAGUCCAUGCGCCCUUACACCCCGAGUAAUCCUGUGGCACCCUGUGAGGGGUCCCGCAGAUAGAUUACUGUCCCACCGCGGACAGGAGGAAAUGAAGAGUCAGGAGGUCAAGUGACUUGUAUAACGUCACCGAAUAGGGUCACUCUGGAAGUUUCCCUCACAACGUAAAUUUCCAAUGAAAUCCAAGGAAGCAGUGGUCCAGGAACAAUGGGGUUCACAGUCCCAGCCCAGGGGGUGAGCUACGAGUCCAAUAAAGAACAAGCCAGCCGCGCAUCCAGCUUUGAGUCGCACAACAAACUAGGCUCUGAUAAGAUGGCGCCCUUGGAAGGGAGAUGGGAAAACGUGUCGGUGUACCCAGCUCCUGCCGCUGCCUCAGCUGUGUCUGAGAACACAGCUGGUCCCUGACCUUCUUGAAGCUCUCCACACUCCAUACACCCACAGCUGAGGAACUGCACAGAUGUCAGACACGGUCCAUUAGGAGGAGUGAGACGGAGCCACAACAAUCCAGCCCAGGGAGGAAGAAAGAGCGGAAAAGCCACGUGCUUCUCUGGGAUAACGGAGAACAUCUGUCGCAGACUCACAGGGCUGGGAGGACAGCUCUAAGACCUUGCCACCCUCCUGGAGCAUACUUGCUGCUUCUGGCCGGAAUCCCUUUCCAGGGCUGGGGUGGGACCCUGUUUCCACCUCCCCAUCUCUGGAUGGACAUCUCUGUAGUGGUCCACGUGCCAGCUCUGGGUGUCUGGUGUUGAGGCCACCCAGACUCCGGGAAGCCGGCCUUCUUGAGAAAGUCAGAGGGUUCAAGGCAGAGGUAUGACCAGAGGUGGGGGGCCAGGUAUGGGGAUACGAGGGUCCUGGGGCACCGCUCUGGGUCCUCGAAACAAGCCACUGCCUGAAAACCCUGCGUUGGGCACUUAUUGGAAGGGAGACCCGUCUGAGAGGACGUAGUCUUUCCUCUGCUGUUCGUUCUUUCCAUCCGGACGAUUGAGGAUCCCUGCGCUCUGUCCCUUCCUCUGCAAGCUUGUGUCUCUACUGGCUGGUCCAGGAGGCAACUCUGCUCCGCAGAGAGUGUUUUCAGGCCUCCCUCCUUUUUAUAACAUCUCAGAGAGGAGACGCAAAGAGGCUUGGCUACUGAGUGUCUUUCACACUGUGGCCUGAGACACACUAGUGCGACGAGAAAUCCAUGUCAUGAGUUGGAGGCGGUAUGAAAAACAAACAAACGAAACAAAACAGAAGGAGACACAGAAGGAAACAGGAAUGAACUGAAUUGAACCGGAACCACCAGAGUACCCGGCACAGAGUCAGGGUGAGUGUCAUUUCCUGGAGUCUGUGUGAACCUUUUGUUCACGGUAACAUCCACGCACGCGCAUCUGUGUGCGUCGUGUUUGUGUUCUUGGUUAGGAUGGGAGACUUGUGUCCGGGCCGUGGUCCAACGGGUUUGGAAGCCACCGGUUCAGGGAGGUGUUGCCUCCGUGGGGCUGCGCAGAGGAACCUGUAUUUGGUCUUCGCCCCUGCUUCCAGGCACAGACCUCCCAGCAGCCCUGGAAUUUCCGGAGUGAUGAGAGUGUGUUAGUCACGACCUGAGCUUACGUUAAUGAGGUGCCUCUUGGUGGCCCCUGGGCAGCUGUGGGAGGACGGAGACGGGCAGCCAGAGGAGCCAGCGGGCGAUUAGAGGGUUGGCACUUGUAGCCCCAGCUCUGGCCUUUGGGGAGGGGAGAGGGGCUGCAGAUUUCUAAUCACCCAUGGCCAAUGAUGUCGGCAGUCAUGCCUAUACAACAAGUGGCCCACAAAACCCCUGAACAGUGGGGUUCAGGGAGCUUCAGGUUGGGGAGCACACUGAGGUCCUGAGGGGCAUGCGCCCCCCAGAAGGCGCGGGGGCUCUGCAUCCCUCCCCACCUGUUGCCCUGUGCCUCUCUUCCAUUGGGUUGUUCCUGAAUUGUACCCUUUGUAACAAACCAAUAUAUGUAAGUAACAUG